rnacentral:tRNA from 1 species
GGUGGUAUAGCUCAGCAGGAGAGCACAUCCUUAGCAUGCAUGAGGUCCUAGGUUCAAUCCCCAGUAACUCCC